GAUGAACGCUGGCGGCGUGCCUAACACAUGCAAGUCGAGCGGACAGACGAGGAUUUCGCUUCGCUGCAGUUACCGGCGGGUGGGUAAUUAAUACGUGGAUAACCUAUCUAUAAGGCUGACAUCACGACAGGGAAGCGGAGCUCAUACAGGACCAUAUAUUGAACCGCAUGGUUCUACAGAGAACGACCGAUUUGAUGUGACUUAUAGGUGUAUCCGGGUCGCAUUAGCUAGUUGGUAAGGUAACGGCUUACCAAGGCAACGAUGCGUAGCCGAUCUGAGAGGGUGAUCGGCCACACUGGAACUGAGACACGGUCCAGACUCCUACGGGAGGCAGCAGUAGGGAAUCUUGCGCAAUGGGCGAAAGCCUGACGGAGCAACGCCGCGUGAGUGAAGAAGGUCUUCGGAUCGUAAAACUCUUUUAGUAGGGAAGAACAGAUGUGUAAUUAACUAUGCACGUCUUGACGUUACCUAAACAAAAAGCCACGGCUAACUACGUG
rnacentral:rRNA from 1 species